CUGCCCCAGGAGGUAAGGAUACCCCCUACUCAGGCUGCUAGCCAAUCAGAAGUUGGAAAACUAGUGUUCAGCAAAGCCUUAGGUGGAGUUUGAGUAUUCUGUGGAAAAGUGAGCUGUAUCUCUGCAUCUGUGUUCUAUCCCAGUUCCCCAGAGCUGGCCUCCAAGAGUUAAAGCAAUGCAUCAACAUUAAAAUGUUAAUUUGGACCUCUGUGCCUGUCCUAGAAUUGAAUUUUCAAAUGAGUUGAUUACAUCUCUCUCUGUGGGCUCAGGAAAUUGUUAGUCUAACAUUAUCUAAUUUAUUGAAGAUAUUUCAGACCUUACAACUUUUCCAUUAGUCAUUCCUAAACAUACAUGGGACAAAUGAAUGAGACACUGCUCAGUGAGCAUUGAUGACUAGAGGAAGCACAGCUCCAAACUAUAGGACCACGGGAAAGUGAAUGAUAGGACCCUGGCCCUCUGAGAUUAUACUCUACAAGACAGGAUCUCCCUGUGCUUGAUGUGAAUGCUGGUGCUGAUGGACUCCCAUGUUCAGAGGAAUGCCAGCAUCCGUAUAUUUUUUCCCUCAGAGCUGGUGUCUUGAUUCCCUGAAACUUUCAAACUUAAAAUUGUCUCUGAAACAAACUGUGCUGAAAAUAUCUUUUAAAAAUAACAAGCACAUUUAGAUUUUGGUGCACAGCAAAUUCUCUGUGAAGAAAAGUUCCAAAUCUGUGACUCUAUUUGCAUUUCCACAAAAACAGAGAAUCUGUGUGCCUAAUAUGUGACAAAUAACAGUGUUAGAAGCCAGCAUUUUAAGACUCUAAUUAUGCAUAGGUUCUCAUUCUUGCUAGUGUGUUUACGACAGGAAGGCAUAUAAAAUUUGCAUCCCCCACAACAAAGCUGAUAUUUUACUUUUAAGUCUGAUACUUUGAUGCAUGUAAACUCAGGGUGAUGCCACAUAAAAUGAUUAAAGUAUUUUAAAAAUACAAGGUCCUAAGGUGCCACUGUUCUCCCAAAAACAGGUACUAAGAUGUAGAUGACUAUGCAAAAUAUCAAGAUGCAUCCAAUGAUCAACUCCUGAGAAGGGAGAGAAGGCACCAGGAGUAGGAGAUAUGGGAGUUGGUCGAAGCUGAGCAAUGACACAGGCUUGACCCAUCACCCUUCCAUGAGCUCAGUGCAGAACGCAAACAAAGUCCUUAGUCAAAUGGAAAAAAUAUUUUCCUAUGUAUGAAUUUGGUUUUGCAUCCAGGUGGACAAAUUUAGGAUUGUGGCUAGACUGGACCACCAACUCCCUUCCCAAACGCAAAUGUGAGUCCAACAUGCUUCAUGCUUUGUUGAGCCAGCCGAUGAUCCAGGUGGUAAUAAGACUUCUGAGUCCAAGCCUAAGAAUAUUUGGACCUUGGGUCACAGCUGUGUGACACACCGAGUCUCAGACAGCAGAGAACAGGAUGGCAGGCAGAUAUCACCAUUUGAAACAAUGACCUUCUCCUGUCCCUCCUGGGUGGGUGUGUCCAAGAAUGAGUCUUCUUUCUGUCAAAGAGAAGGAGAUGAUGAGGGCGAGUGAGGCGUGAUAGCCCUCCACAACUAUGAAAAGGAAAAUGACCCUGUAUUGUUUACCAGAUCCAAGUAAUACAAAGAGGCGGUUUUUAUAAAAGGCUUCAGUCCACCUGCAUACUGCAUAUAAUCCCUGUCAGGAAUGCUGCUCAGGACUGAAGGAAGUCAUAAGUAAAGCAUGCAACAGAGCCAGUAAGGGUAAGUUUCGGCUUGGUGCACAGCUGGGAUCUGAUACAGAGCAGUGGGUCCUCUUCCUCCUCCACUGAGAGAGCUUAAACACUGAGGACACAAAUUAGAUGACCUCUCUUUGCCUUCAAACAGUCUUUGUUGGACAGGAUUAGUCGGAUUUGUUUAUUGAGAUCCUAACAUGCUUAAGACUAAACUUAACUAGUGUUAAAGAAGUCAUAGAAUUACAGAAUUUUCAGACCCAGAAAGGACCUUGAGAGCACAGUUUGUUUCCCUCCUAAUUUCAAAGCAGAAGCAAGAGGUCUAACUGGGAACAGGGUGCUAAAACUCCAGCCUAGGAUGCUUUCUGCCCAGCAUGUUCCUUGGGAGCCACACCCAGGCAGGGUCUUCUCAAAUCAGCAUCCCAACAUCACACAUCACUUAAUUGGUUGGCAGGUUUUUGGCUCUCGGAUAAAAUACAUUUGGGAAUGAAUUAAUUCACCAAAUCUGCCUGCUUGGCUUUGGCACUCUUUGAUAACUUGAGGUUUUGCGAGACUGUUGAGUUUAAGAGACUUAAAUUAAGACUGUUUCAUGGAAUACGUAGAGAGAAAAAAAUUAGAUGCUUUAUAGCUUAAAAAAUUACACAUAGACCUAUCUAUGCUGCUUGUUUUGUAAGAGCCCAUCAUGGAGGAAUACAGCACUCUACACAUGUCAUAUUUUUAUUUUAGGUAGGAGAAAUGAUCACAGGUCAACAAACACCCAUGUCUGUGAAGACCGCCUCGGAGAGCAGCAAGGAACAAACAAAGCCCAGAAGAAAGCAGGUAGAAAGAUUAGAAGUUGAUCCCAGCAAGCAUUCCUGCCCUGAUGUGUCUACUAUAGUACAAGAGAGAAAACACAAACCCAAAAGGAUGGAAUCUCAACCACAAGUUGAACCCAGUGAGGCAGAGCCAGACUUUGACGAUAACCCAGAGGUGCCUCCACUCAUUUGAAACAUGAGGAUGGAUUGUUACUGACUGCGAGCCACAGACCCAUGUUGCUUUGUGUUGACAGUGGAAAUGUGUCAUUCAUGGGGUAAACAUAGUUCGUUCCCAUUUUAUCUGAUGCUAUAAUGCUCACUUUGCAUAAUAAUACUCUUAAGUGAAUUUACAAUUAAAUUGCGUUCCUUGAAUAUGCUAUAACUUAUCAUUCAUGUAUAAUUGAGCUUCACUGUUAAAAAUGUGCAGUAAUUUAAUAGAACUAUGACAUUCAACAUUAAGAAUAAGUCGUUAAGAUUAAGAUUUAGUCUUUGCUUAUGCAAUACAUUCUGUUAUAUGGAAAAGGACUUGAUCACAUUGCUCAAACUCAGAAGUUAGAACUGGACUCUCAGGUUUACUGAAAACGUCUUGACAUGAUUUUAAACAGUGUUUUUCAUCUUUCUUCUCAUGUUCCUGCUUUCUCUAGUGGCAUGAUGUAAUGGCAAGAAUGAGACAUUAACUUCCCUAUAUUUGGAUUCCUGCUGAGUCACCAAAUAAAGACUUUCAGCUGGUCCUUAA
rnacentral:sRNA from 1 species